rnacentral:rRNA from 1 species
AAGAUUGGCAUGGGUGAGAGCCUGAUCAGCCUCCCGCGUGAAGGACGACGGCCCUAUGGGUUGUAAACUUCUUUUGUAUAGGGAUAAACCUACUCUCGUGAGAGUAGCUGAAGGUACUAUACGAAUAAGCACCGGCUAACUCCGUGCCAGCAGCCGCGGUAAUACGGAGGGUGCAAGCGUUAUCCGGAUUUAUUGGGUUUAAAGGGUCCGUAGGCUGAUUUGUAAGUCAGUGGUGAAAUCUCACAGCUCAACUGUGAAACUGCCAUUGAUACUGCAAGUCUUGAGUGUUGUUGAAGUAGCUGGAAUAAGUAGUGUAGCGGUGAAAUGCAUAGAUAUUACUUAGAACACCAAUUGCGAAGGCAGGUUACUAAGCAACAACUGACGCUGAUGGACGAAAGCGUGGGGAGCG